AAUUCAGGUGAAGAGUCAAAUAAGACCUCAGCCUCCAAGGUGGAAGAGGGUGAAACAGACAAGAGGCUUGAAGAAGGAGAAAAAAAUGGCGGGACCAAAAAAAAAAAAAUACAAAAAUUAGCCAGGUGUGCCACCACACCCCAGCCUGGGUGACAAAGCAAAACCCUAUCUCAACAAAAAAGAAAGGAAGCUGAGAUUGCUGUAGAAAACAGACAAAAGUUUUUUGUUUCCAGACAGGGUCUCUGUCACCCAGGCUAGAGUACAGUGGCGCAAUCAUGGCUCACUGUAACCUCGAACUCCUGGGCUCAAGCGAUCCUCAGGCCUCAGCCUCCUGGGUAGGUAGGACUAGAGGCAUGUGUCACCAUUCCUGACUAAUUUUUUGGUUUUUUGUUUUUCUAGAGACAAGGUCUCGCUGUGUUGCCCAGGCUGGUCUCGAACUCCUGGCCUCAAGCAAUCCUCCCACCUCAGCUUCGCAAAAUGUUGGGAUUACAGGCAUGAACUACCACACCUGGCUAAACAAGGAAAGUUUUGAAGAACAGUGAGGCAGUGCAGAUAAGAGAAAGCACAGUGGUCUGAGUCCUGAGUCUGGGGAGCUGGAGAAGCCCUUGGAUCUUCUUACAAAAGGAAACUUGCAGUGUCUAGCCUCUAACCAUCUCACAUUGGGCAUCACAACCUCUUCAGGGUGGUUUCCUUAUUUGUCAAAAGAGGGGCACAGAUGAGAUGACUGCCUUCUAGCUCUGAUAAGCUUAAGGCUUGGGGAUUUGAGGACGGGCCAGGACUGUAUUUGUUUUGUUUUGUUUUGUUUUUUUAGACAGAGUCUCACUCUGUCACCCAGGCUGGAGUGCAGUGGUGUGAUCUCAGCUCACUGCAACCUCUGCAACCCAGAUUCAAGCAAUUCUCCUGCCUCAGCCUCCUGAGUAGCUGGGACUACAGGUGCCUGCCACCACACCCGGCUAAUUUUUGUAUUUUUAGUAGAGACAGAGUUUCGCCAUAUGUGAUCAAGGCUGGUCUCGAACUCCUGACCUCAGGUG
rnacentral:lncRNA from 1 species